UCACAUUUGCACUUCCCAAAACUCAACAACUUUUUCUGCAUUGGAUCCUUCCAGGAGACAGGAAGAAAGGAAAACUAUUCCUUAAGAUAUUCAACAGUAAAGAGCUGACUCUACAUGAAAGCAUCCCUUUUCUUCUUCCUAUCCAGGAGGAACAGAUUAAGUAUGUUUGAAGGAAGAAGACAAAGAUAUUCUUCUUGAUAACCAAAACACUUCAGAUUAUGGUCCUGUAAACCAGCUAGUAUCCAGAAAGUACACUGAAGAAAGCAAAAAGGACUGACUUUGAGUUGAACCCGCACUGUAUCCCUCAAUGGAGAUCUAUGAAGGGAUAUUUGUAAUACCUGUGGACAUCUUGCAUUACACCAGUGGGAGUUUUUGUCAUCAGUAGAUGAACAGCUGAAACAUGGACAGAAUAAAACAUGGCAGAUAUAUGCAAAAGGCAGAUUGAAUCUGAUGUAUUUAGCAGUUUAUUAUUUACUAUAGCCCUUCUAGGUCUCUCUCUGGGGUAUGUGAAAUGACAUUAUUUCCUGCAACAGUAAAAUAAAAAUGGAAAAAAAAAAAACAAAAAAGAAGAAGCACACGUAAUAAACUACCACUUGAAUAAAAGAAGCUUAAAUCAUGAAUGUUAUUUCCUGGUUCUUAAAUGCAGUAUAUUUUCAUAGAAGCCUUCAACAAUUUCUAUUGUUGUCAAUCCCCAUGUGAAAAAAAGUAACAGGACUCUUAUUCUUAUUUGUUGUUACUAUUUUAGAGCACUCACAAGAACACUUGGCAUUCUAUAGGAAUACAGAAGGAAAAAGAGAGCUCUCGGCCUUGACAAGUAUACAGACUCCGCAGCAAG